ensembl:lncRNA
GGCGGUGUCUUCUCUGCUUUAGGUGGAGUAGGUACGUGUCUUCUCUGCUUUAGGUGGAGUAGGUACGAGUCUUCUCUGCUUUAGGUGGAGUAGGUACGAGUCUUCUCUGCUUUAGGUGGAGUAGGUACGAGUCUUAUCUGCUUUAGGUGGAGUAGGCGGCGGUGUCUUAUCUAUGUCUAUAUGGCCACAUUACACACUCUCCCCUAUGUUCUUUGUCUGCAUGUAUGCCUAUGUCAGUGGAUCUGUAUCUAUAUAUAAUGUACAUCUAUGUCUCUGUGUCUUCCUAUAUUUAUACCUUUAUAUCUAAAACACUAUAUGUAUACACACACAC